UGCCAGCAGCCGCGGUAAUACGGAGGGGGUUAGCGUUAAUCGGAAUUACUGGGCGUAAGGCGCGCGUAGGUGGUCUGUUAAGUCAGAUGUGAAAGCCAAUAGCUCAACUAUUGAACUGCAUUUGAAACUGUUAUCCUAGAGUAUGGGAGAGGUAGAUGGAAUUUCUGGUGUAGGGGUAAAAUCCGUAGAGAUCAGAAGGAAUACCGAUUGCGAAGGCGAUCUACUGGAACAUUACUGACGCUGAGACGCGAAAGCGUGGGGAGCAAACAGGAUUAGAUA
rnacentral:rRNA from 1 species